AACGAACGCUGGCGGCAUGCCUAACACAUGCAAGUCGAACGAGACCUUCGGGUCUAGUGGCGCACGGGUGCGUAACGCAUGGGAACCUGCCCUUAGGUUCGGAAUAACUUCCCGAAAGGGGUGCUAAUAACAGAUAAUUUCUUCGGACCAAAGAUUUAUCGACUUUGGAUGGGCCCGAGUUGGAUUAGCUAGUUGGUAGGGUAAAAGCCUACCAAGGCGACGAUCCAUAGCUGGUCAAAGAGAAUGAUCAGCCACACUGGGACUGAGACACGGCCCAGACGCCUACGGGAGGCAGCAGUGGGGAAUAUUGGACAAUGGGCGAAAGCCUGAUCCAGCAAUGCCGCGUGAGUGAUGAAGGCCUUAGGGUUGUAAAGCUCUGUUAACCGGGAUGAUAAUGACAGUACCUUGAGAAUAAGCGCCGGCUAACUCCGUG
rnacentral:rRNA from 1 species